UCUCUUCAGUCUUCCCUUUCGCUCAUCUCGCCCUCUCUCUCACUCCGUCUCGCUCUUCUCUCUCACUCCGUUAGACGAAUUACAAACACGAAGGAAGACAGCAGCCACUACGCACCCAUUUGCUUCUCCUCCGCUCCACCCUCCGUCGGCGUUUUGGCCGUUUUACGUUAUAGGGAUGUGCACCACCAGUAAAGCUGCGACGUGUGGUGCGCAUUCAACCGAGAGUCACACACUGACACAAGUACACUCUUUGCCUGUAAUCUUCGUCUCUGCACAACACAAUAAAUGGGUUGGUAAUCCCUUCCAAUUUCCCAAUCAUUUCCUUUCUCAAUUUUGACAUAUAUGUAUUCUCACUAUUCCAAUUACCAGGAAUUCACAGUGUUUGCUGCUUGCGUUCCCAUUUCACUGUAAAUUUCAAUCCUCACUGCCAUUUUUCACCUUAGUUUCUAGUAAUCAGUGAGAAAAAGUGUAAAUUUACCUGUUUAAAUUUGUGGGUUUUCGUUCUAUUACCGUAUAAUGGCGAUUUCUAUGCUUUACGGAGCUCAGAAUCUCAAACUUGUCAAUGGAAUAAUAGCAGUAACACCAAGUGGGUUAGGUUAUGGUGGGAAAAAUUACCAUUAUGGGGUUUUUCCCAGAAGGGUUUAGUGAGCUAUGGUGGUAGGAGUCGAAAGACCAGAACUUUAGUGGGACCGAUAUGCAGUGUGUCAUCCUCAAGGCCUGCUUCCAAGUCUAGGUUCAUAUAGCACAAACAGAAGGCUUUCUGGUUCUAUAGGUUUUUGUCUAUAAUGUAUGAUCAUGUUAUAAACCCUAGGCAUUGGACUGAGCCCCUGAACUUUACGAUAGGAAUAUGGUGGUGGUGGAUAUUGGAGGUGUAACUAGGGUACGACUCUUGGCAUUGUUAAGCAUGUGGACGCCAAGAAUGUGACCAUUCUUGACCAAUCACCGCACCAACUUUCCAAGGCUAAGGAGAAUGAGCCCUUGAAAGAAUGCAGGAAAAUUGAAGGGGAUGUCGAAGAUCUGCCGUACCCAAUUGAUUACGUGGAUCGAUAUGUCUCUGCUGGAAGGCAUCUCCAAUUCAUUUAGCUGGAAGGCAAGUUUACAUUGAGGAGCAAAGACCAAACAACACUGGAUUAGCAGCUUGAGGAAGAGGAAGGGGCAAAGGCAGAGGAAGUUACCAAACUGACGCCACAAGGGGGCGUUUUAGUGGCCGGAGUUCAAGCAGGGGUAGUUACCAGGAUGAAGAUUACAACAGACUGAGAGGCAAUGGUUUUCAUCAGCGUGGCAAGGCUACACCACCAGCCGAUACUUAGUAGCAUGAUGCAUCAAGCCUAGAAGACUACUUGUUGUAGUUUUUUCUUUUAUGUUUUUUUUUUUGGUCAAUUAGUUUUUUCUUUUAUGUUUGAACAUCUUGUGUGUACAUUUUCAUAUAUUUUAUAAUUAAAUACUUUUUCUUGGUUUA